ensembl:lncRNA
CACGGGCGUGCCGCGCUGCAAAUCAGAUUUUGACGCGCCGCAAAUUAAAUUUUGCUGCCGGUUUUCUCGGCAGCAAAUGCUGCGGCAGCAAAGCAGCAACGCGUCCCUACAUUCAUUUUGAAUGGGAUCGUGCCGGACGUCAACUUUUUGCAUCUUUUGGUGAGAACGCAGGGUAAUAGGAGAUGUGUGUAUGCUGGUUGUGGUGAAUGUAUGCUGUGGUUCACAGUUUCUCAUUCAGACCUGUGGGUGCAAGUGUAUGUAGACGGGUGAUCCAUUGGUGCUCUAUGCGUCUGCGUUGUGGGGUGGUCCAUCUGUGGUCGGACUCUAAACCGGUGAUGGUGAGGAAGGAUGCUGGGGAGGUUAUGGUGAGGACCGGGAUGAGGGGCGAGACGGAUCGUCAUUAAGGCCAAAAGGGGCUGUGGCGGACAGCCUACAGAUCCACCUUCUCUCGGCAGCUCUCCUCUGGACCAGGGACCAACCGGCAUUGGUCUCCAGACCUGACAAUGAAAAGUUAUUGAUAUGAUGGGAGAUGAAAUACUCCUGCAUAGUCUGCACUGGAUGGCGUAGACGACGUUGCAGGAGAGUAGUGUGAAGGUCUGCGAGAUGGGGACACCGGCUCGAGAGUUAUAGAUAUACUUCAGGGAGAACGGGCCGGUCUGGCUGGAAGAGGGCGGUCACUUCCCCUUUAACAGUCCGAAGAAAACGUUUGGAAUAGCCGCGGGGUCUAAGGGCCUUGAAAAGGGUCCUGGUGGCCUCCUCUACGUGAUGGGGUAGAGAGCAGAUGCGGUGGAAACGGAUUAGUUGGGACUUGAUGAUGGAGCUGAAAGUAUGCCGGGGAUGGUAGCUGGUGUUGAAUACUAAGGAAUGUCUGUCAGUGUCUUUAAAAUAAACCUUGGUUGCUAAUGUUUUGUGUCCAUCCUUCGUGUCGGUGAAGAAAACGAGGGUUAGGGUUAGGG